GUUACUUCACCGGUUUCAGAGUACACUAGUAAUUGCUGAGCACGCCAAUGAGACCCUGACACCAAUUACUUUGAACACCAUUACUGCGGCAAAACGACUUGGGGGUGAAGUGUCCUGUUUAGUAGCGGGGACCAGUUGUGAAAAGGUGGCACAAGAGCUGAGCAAAAUACCUGGAGUUUCCAAGGUGCUUUUUGCCCAACACGAUGCAUAUAAAGGACUUCUGGCUGAGGAGCUGACACCGC